GACUACCAGGGUAUCUAAUCCUGUUUGCUCCCCACACUUUCGCACCUCAGCGUCAGUAUCGAGCCAGUGAGCCGCCUUCGCCACUGGUGUUCCUCCAAAUAUCUACGAAUUUCACCUCUACACUUGGAAUUCCACUCACCUCUCUCGAACUCAAGACUGGGAGUUUUAAAGGCAGUUCCAGGGUUGAGCCCUGGGAUUUCACCUCUAACUUUCCAAUCCGCCUACGUGCGCUUUACGCCCAGUAAUUCCGAACAACGCUAACCCCCUCCGUAUUACCGCGGCUGCUGGCACGGAGUUAGCCGGGGUUUCUUUACCUGCUACUGUCAUUAUCAUCACAGGCGAAAGAGCUUUACGACCCUAAGGCCUUCUUCACUCACGCGGCAUGGCUAGAUCAGGCUUGCGCCCAUUGUCUAAGAUUCCCCACUGCUGCCUCCCGUAGGAGUCUGGGCCGUGUCUCAGUCCCAGUGUUGCUGAUCAUCCUCUAAAACCAGCUAUAGAUCGUAGACUUGGUAGGCCUUUACCCCACCAACUAUCUAAUCUAACGCGGGCCGAUCCUUCUCCGAUAAAUCUUUCCCCCGAAGGGCGUAUACGGUAUUACUCUUCGUUUCCAAAGGCUAUUCCGUAGAAAAGGGUACGUUCCCACGCGUUACUAACCCGUCCGCCACUAAGCCCGAAGGCUCCGUUUGACUUGCAUGUGUUAGGCCUGCCGCCAGCGUUCGUUCUGAGCCAGGAUCAAACUCU
rnacentral:rRNA from 1 species